rnacentral:rRNA from 1 species
UGGCUCAUUACAUCANUUAUGGUUCCUUAGAUCGUACCCACAUUUACUUGGAUAACUGUGGUAAUUCUAGAGCUAAUACAUGCAAAUCGAAUUCCAACCAGAGAUGGGCNGAAUGCUUUUAUUAGAUCAAAACCAAUCGGUAGCAGGCUUUGCUUUGCUUACCGUUUGAUUUGGUGACUCUGAAUAACUUCAAGGAGAUCGCACGGUCUCGUACCGGCGACGCAUCUUUCAAAUGUCUGCCUUAUCAACUGUCGAUGGUAGUUUCUGCGACUACCAUGGUUGUUACGGGUAACGGGGAAUCAGGGUUCGAUUCCGGAGAGGGAGCCUGAGAAACGGCUACCACAUCCAAGGAAGGCAGCAGGCGCGCAAAUUACCCACUCCCGGCACGGGGAGGUAGUGACGAAAAAUAACGAUACGGGACUCAUCCGAGGCCCCGUAAUCGGAAUGAGUACACUUUAAAUCCUUUAACGAGGAUCAAUUGGAGGGCAAGUCUGGUGCCAGCAGCCGCGGUAAUUCCAGCUCCAAUAGCGUAUAUUAAAGUUGUUGCGGUUAAAAAGCUCGUAGUUGAAUUUGUGUUCCACACUGUUGGUUCACCGCUCGCGUUUUAACUGGCAUGUCUGUGGAACGUCCUACCGGUGGUGUCGUUUACCCCAGUUGAGGUAAAACUUUUCUGGGGGACGGCCCAAAUAACAAAUCCUAUCACGGUGCUCUUAAACGAGUGUCGGGAUGGGCCGGUACGUUUACUUUGAACAAAUUAGAGUGCUUAAAGCAGGCUUAUAUUUGCCUGAAUAUUAUGUGCAUGGAAUAAUAGAAUAGGACCUCGGUUCUAUUUUGUUGGUUUUCGGAACCCCCGAGGUAAUGAUUAAUAGGGACAACUGGGGGCAUUCGUAUUGCGACGUUAGAGGUGAAAUUCUUGGAUCGUCGCAAGACGGACAGAAGCGAAAGCAUUUGCCAAAUGUGUUUUCAUCAAUCAAGAACGAAAGUUAGAGGUUCGAAGGCGAUCAGAUACCGCCCUAGUUCUAACCAUAAACGAUGCCAGCUAGCGAUCCGCCGAAGUUCCUCGAUGACUCGGCGGGCAGC